UCAAGUGAAGAAGCGCAUACGGUGGAUGCCUUGGCAGUCAGAGGCGAUGAAAGACGUGGUAGCCUGCGAAAAGCUUCGGGGAGUCGGCAAACAGACUUUGAUCCGGAGAUCUCUGAAUGGGGGAACCCACCUAGGAUAACCUAGGUAUCUUGUACUGAAUCCAUAGGUGCAAGAGGCGAACCAGGGGAACUGAAACAUCUAAGUACCCUGAGGAAAAGAAAUCAACCGAGAUUCCCUUAGUAGUGGCGAGCGAACGGGGAUUAGCCCUUAAGCUUCAUUGAUUUUAGCGGAACGCUCUGGAAAGUGCGGCCAUAGUGGGUGAUAGCCCCGUACGCGAAAGGAUCUUUGAAGUGAAAUCGAGUAGGACGGAGCACGAGAAACUUUGUCUGAACAUGGGGGGACCAUCCUCCAAGGCUAAAUACUACUGACUGACCGAUAGUGAACCAGUACCGUGAGGGAAAGGCGAAAAGAACCCCGGAGAGGGGAGUGAAAUAGAACCUGAAACCGUAUGCGUACAAGCAGUGGGAGCCUACUUGUUAGGUGACUGCGUACCUUUUGUAUAAUGGGUCAGCGACUUAUAUUCAGUGGCAAGCUUAACCGUAUAGGGUAGGCGUAGCGAAAGCGAGUCUUAAUAGGGCGUUUAGUCGCUGGGUAUAGACCCGAAACCGGGCGAUCUAUCCAUGAGCAGGUUGAAGGUUAGGUAACACUGACUGGAGGACCGAACCCACUCCCGUUGAAAAGGUAGGGGAUGACUUGUGGAUCGGAGUGAAAGGCUAAUCAAGCUCGGAGAUAGCUGGUUCUCCUCGAAAGCUAUUUAGGUAGCGCCUCAUGUAUCACUCUGGGGGGUAGAGCACUGUUUCGGCUAGGGGGUCAUCCCGACUUACCAAACCGAUGCAAACUCCGAAUACCCAGAAGUGCCGAGCAUGGGAGACACACGGCGGGUGCUAACGUCCGUCGUGAAAAGGGAAACAACCCAGACCGCCAGCUAAGGUCCCAAAGUUGUGGUUAAGUGGUAAACGAUGUGGGAAGGCUUAGACAGCUAGGAGGUUGGCUUAGAAGCAGCCACCCUUUAAAGAAAGCGUAAUAGCUCACUAGUCGAGUCGGCCUGCGCGGAAGAUGUAACGGGGCUCAAACCACACACCGAAGCUGCGGGUGUCACGUAAGUGACGCGGUAGAGGAGCGUUCUGUAAGCCUGUGAAGGUGAGUUGAGAAGCUUGCUGGAGGUAUCAGAAGUGCGAAUGCUGACAUGAGUAACGACAAUGGGUGUGAAAAACCCCCACGCCGAAAGACCAAGGGUUCCUGCGCAACGUUAAUCGACGCAGGGUUAGUCGGUUCCUAAGGCGAGGCUGAAAAGCGUAGUCGAUGGGAAACAGGUUAAUAUUCCUGUACUUCUGGUUACUGCGAUGGAGGGACGGAGAAGGCUAGGCCAGCUUGGCGUUGGUUGUCCAAGUUUAAGGUGGUAGGCUGAAAUCUUAGGUAAAUCCGGGGUUUCAAGGCCGAGAGCUGAUGACGAGUCGUCUUUUAGAUGACGAAGUGGUUGAUGCCAUGCUUCCAAGAAAAGCUUCUAAGCUUCAGGUAACCAGGAACCGUACCCCAAACCGACACAGGUGGUCGGGUAGAGAAUACCAAGGCGCUUGAGAGAACUCGGGUGAAGGAACUAGGCAAAAUGGCACCGUAACUUCGGGAGAAGGUGCGCCGGCUAGGGUGAAGGAUUUACUCCGUAAGCUCUGGCUGGUCGAAGAUACCAGGCCGCUGCGACUGUUUAUUAAAAACACAGCACUCUGCAAACACGAAAGUGGACGUAUAGGGUGUGACGCCUGCCCGGUGCCGGAAGGUUAAUUGAUGGGGUUAGCGCAAGCGAAGCUCUUGAUCGAAGCCCCGGUAAACGGCGGCCGUAACUAUAACGGUCCUAAGGUAGCGAAAUUCCUUGUCGGGUAAGUUCCGACCUGCACGAAUGGCGUAACGAUGGCGGCGCUGUCUCCACCCGAGACUCAGUGAAAUUGAAAUCGCUGUGAAGAUGCAGUGUAUCCGCGGCUAGACGGAAAGACCCCGUGAACCUUUACUGUAGCUUUGCACUGGACUUUGAGCCUGCUUGUGUAGGAUAGGUGGGAGGCUUUGAAGCGUGGACGCCAGUUCGCGUGGAGCCAUCCUUGAAAUACCACCCUGGCAUGCUUGAGGUUCUAACUCUGGUCCGU
rnacentral:rRNA from 1 species